rnacentral:tRNA from 2 species
GCCCCCAUAGCUCAGCGGAUUAGAGCACUUGGUUGCGGACUAAGGGGUCGCAGGUUCGAGUCCUGCUGGGGGCG